rnacentral:rRNA from 1 species
AUUGAACGCUGGCGGCAUGCCUUACACAUGCAAGUCGAACGGCAGCAUAGGAGCUUGCUCCUGAUGGCGAGUGGCGAACGGGUGAGUAAUAUAUCGGAACGUGCCCUAGAGUGGGGGAUAACUAGUCGAAAGACUAGCUAAUACCGCAUACGAUCUACGGAGGAAAGUGGGGGAUCGCAAGACCUCAUGCUCCUGGAGCGGCCGAUAUCUGAUUAGCUAGUUGGUGGGGUAAAAGCCUACCAAGGCGACGAUCAGUAGCUGGUCUGAGAGGACGACCAGCCACACUGGGACUGAGACACGGCCCAGACUCCUACGGGAGGCAGCAGUGGGGAAUUUUGGACAAUGGGGGCAACCCUGAUCCAGCAAUGCCGCGUGAGUGAAGAAGGCCUUCGGGUUGUAAAGCUCUUUUGUCAGGGAAGAAACGGUAGUAGCUAAUAUCUAUUACUAAUGACGGUACCUGAAGAAUAAGCACCGGCUAACUACGUGCCAGCAGCCGCGGUAA